GACGAACGCUGGCGGCGUGCCUAAUACAUGCAAGUUGAGCGCUGAAGGUUGGUACUUGUACCAACUGGAUGAGCAGCGAACGGGUGAGUAACGCGUGGGGAAUCUUCCUUUGAGCGGGGGACAACAUCUGGAAACGAAUGCUAAUACCGCAUAAAAACUUUAAACACAAGUUUUAAGUUUGAAAGAUGCAAUUGCAUCACUCAAAGAUGAUCCCGCGUUGUAUUAGCUAGUUGGUGAGGUAAAGGCCCACCAAGGCGAUGAUACAUAGCCGACCUGAGAGGGUGAUCCGGCACAUUGGGACUGAGACACGGCCCAAACUCCUACGGGAGGCAGCAGGAGGGAAUCUUCGGCAAUGGACGAAAGUCUGACCGAACAACGCCGCGGGAGUGAAGAAGGUUUUCGGAUCGUAAAACUCUGUUGGUAGAGAAGAACGUUGGUGAGAGUGGAAAGCUCAUCAAGUGACGGUAACUACACAGAAAGGGACGGCUAACUACGUG
rnacentral:rRNA from 1 species